GAAAAAAUGAACUACAUGAGGUGCAAGCUAGAGGAAAAAUGAAUGUUAUCUACCUUAUUUUGGAAGAUGCAACUUUAAAGGGAUCCACAUCAAGACUUCUCCUUUUCACUGGCACGCUGGAGCUGCCUGACUUGCCCCUGCAGAAGGGCUCUGUGAAGCUCCUCACGCAGAGAUGGGAGUGUGCCAGUGCUCCAAGAUCCAGCUUGACACUCCGACGCCUACCAGCCCUGAGGUCUCCAGUACCAGAUAAAACAAGACAGAGCAGCACUGUAGAGAAAGUCCUGGCAGACAGCGAGAAGGUGGAGGUGUUCAAGGAGGAGCCCCUGGGUGGCCCUCGCCAGAUUGAGCGCUCCACCAUCGCUGUAAAGGAGCUGCAGAGCCGC
ensembl:lncRNA